rnacentral:lncRNA from 1 species
UCAGCCACAACAAACAGCAGUUUAUAAGAGGCCACAGCACACCCAAGAGACACGGCCACAUUCUUGAAUGUCUAAUGUCGGUUGACAAUCAGCAGGGGGACCACAAUAAGCAGCAGCCGCAGGCAUGGCAGAGCAACGACAAACCCACACCACAUGGAGAGCAGUCCGUGUCAACUGGUCAGCAGGCCACCACUGUCCCCUUGAUGUCACUGAGAUGGCUGGGGCUGGCAAGCUUGGAGGCUGCUCACCCAGGAAACUCUCUUUUCUGUGAGUCAGGAAACAUCCAUCCAGACUGUCUGAAUUAUCAAAGAAAAAAGAAAAAAAAAAUCUUGAGCUGAUGGCAUCCGAAUGAAUCAGUUACAGGGCUGGACCGGGGAGCUGAUUGGAGCUGUCAGGUUCCCUGUGGAGAGACAGCCCUGGGAGACUCUGCUCAAAGAGUGCCAGGACAUCAACAAUCAACAAGCUUUCAGGUGAAUUUCACAACACCUGUGGGAGGGGGAGCCCUCCAGCUCCUUACUGUUCUUAAUAACUCAGAGUCCAGUUAGUGAUGCACACAUGUGCAUGGGCGUGUGGCCACCCUCUGGGCCAUGAAUAACAUACUCCAUAUUCCCUGGAGAGAGUGACCCCCAUUCUGCCAGCAACCAUAACCGCCAAUAGCUGUGUCUUCUCAGGGAACUCUCCACCCAAGCUGGACUUAUGAGUGGCUUGACCUUGUGCAGGUGACCCCAGCUGUUGCGAGCUGAUGCUUGAGACAGCCAUGUCAGCUCUGAAAGCCAGCAUUUCACAGCUCUCCUCCCAUGCUGAUUCUCUCUUCUGUGAGGUUCUCGAGCUGUGGAUUGAGGGAGGGAGGUAGACAUAGAAGAUAGCUCUAGCGUUACCCCCAUUCAAGUCUCUUUUCUUGUACCAUGCAGCUUCUGAGAGCUUAACCCAUGACCAUUCACAGGUUUGGGUGAGCAUUCAUAGACACCAUACAUUGUGUCAGGAUCAUGACAUUCCGGGAUGUCACUCAAGAGCUGGGGUGACAGACCCUUACUCUGUGGACUGGGACAUGUUGAGAUAACAGUGCGGAUCUGGGAACAAGGAGAACUGUGGGUUCAAAUCCCUACACACCACUUAUUAAUCACAGUGCCUUGGGCAAGCUGUUUACAUUUCUGAGCCUCCGUGUUUUGACAUUUCAUUUGACAAGGCUGGUAUCCACAGUCCACCAGUGGU